AUGGGAGGAAAAGAAAAUAACAAUGAUUCCCCUAGUAACGGCGAGUGAACAGGGAAAAGCUCACAGUUGGAACCUAGCUGCCUUAGGUAGUUCGGAUUGUAAACUGAAAAAGUGUUAUCCAGGCUAGCCGAGUAAAUAAGUUUCUUGGAACAGAACAUCAUGGAGGGUGAGAAUCCCGUCUUUGGCUUGAGCAUAGUCUUUUGUGUUGCACUUUAACGAGUCAGGUUGUUUGGGAAUGCAGCCUAAAGUGGGAGGUAAAUCCCUCCUAAAGCUAAAUAUUGGCGAGAGACCGAUAGCAAACAAGUACCGUGAGGGAAAGAUGAAAAGAACUUUGAAAAGAGAGUUAAACAGUAUGUGAAAUUGCUAAAAGGGAAGCGUUUGAAGACAGACUAGCUUGGUUAUAAUCAGCCUGGAUUUUUCUUGGUGUACUUGUAGCCUAUGCUUGUCAACAGCAGUUUGGUCUGGCUGAAAAAACUGAUAGUAAGGUGGCUCUCUUCGGGGAGUGUUAUAGACUGUUAGAAAAUCAGUUGGACUGGACUGAGGAAUGCAAUGCAGCUUGCCUUGGGGUGAACCAGAUUGGAUAGGAACCAUUGUUCUUUGAAGGUUUGGGUAGCUCUUCGAACUGUAUUUAGGUUGUUGGCUUAAUGUCUUUAAACGGCCCGCUGA
rnacentral:rRNA from 1 species